CCAGGUUAAACUAAGUUGGUCAUCAAACAGAGGAUUUCAGACAGGUUAGUUCUAAAGAAUCUUGUGAUUCUAUUAAAAUAGAGCCUGGUUAUUGUUUUUAUAGUAGUAUGUCUGUCAAUCUUGGUUACGUGGUAGAGUUCCUUUUUUUACUGUAAUGAUGAUCUUCCAUCGCAUAUCCAAAUGUCACAAGGGUACAACUUCCCCAAUUUUUAAACCAAUAGUUUUUGGCAUUGGAUUGCUUACCAGGAUUGAACAGAUUUUAAAUGAUUUUUGUCAAUCUUUAUUUUAUGCGUGCAUAUGAUGAACAAACAAUCUUACUAUGCCCCAACAGCAUUGGUUAGGCAAGAGAGGUACAUUCGUACAGUUGAAGGCAUGUUAUAUCUACCGUAUAUACUCGUGUAUAAGUCGAUCUCAUGUAUAAGUCGAGUGCAGUUUUGUGACCAACAAUUGUGAAAUAUGCUAUGCCUCGUGGAUAAGUCGAGGGUAAAACUUGGGGCUAUGAAAUUCUGUGAUUUUUAUAAUUAUAUACACACACACACUCAUACAAACACACACUCUGCAUUAUAUAUACACACACUCAUACAAACAGACACUCUGCAUUAUAUAUACACACACACACUCAUAAAAACAC